CCGCCCAUCCGGCUCGGCACCCCGGGCUUUGCCCGCAACGGCCUAGACUGCACAACUGCGGGGCGGGGCGAAGCGGGAAGAGGUGGGGCGGGGCGUUCUGCUGUAGCGUUUCCGGCCCGGCCCAGGUCGGGAGCUCGCCUCCUGGCACCACCAGUGACGUCAUGUCUCGUACCUGUACCGGGAGCCUGGCUUCGGGAUCUUCACGCCGCCGCUCACCAACUGCAUCCUGGGCAGUCAUUCCCAGACCUUGGUUUCAGUACUGCUGAAAUAUGAGCAGCUUCGUAGUGUGCUUCAGAGACUUGUGGUGAGAUGUGAUUGCUGAAAAUAUGUUUUUUAAUGAAAGGUUCAUGCUACGUAUUCCAUUUCUUUUAUGGAUGACGAUCUAGCCAAGAUACCUUGAAAUAAGAGCCUCGAAGGCGAAUUUUGCUUCCACCUAUAUGAAAUACUUUAUAUGUAACUAGAAAAGUUAAGUGAGACCUGAAGAAGAGCGAAGGGCAGUAACAAGCUUCUAUUUUACAAUAACAAAUGUAAGGAAUAAUUUAUUAUCUGUUUAGGUGUAUGUAUGUUUGUAAGAGGGAACCUUUCAGACUUUUACAGUUUUUCCCAGUGUUCAACCAAAUUAAAAAGUUAUGAUUGCAAUCAUUAUUGCAUUACUCUAGUUGGAGCAUUUCCAGGUAAGUGGUCUUUUAUUGUAGUUUUUUAGUAUGAGAAUUUUCAUGCAAUUUUCACCAGUUGUAGAGGUCAAAAAUAAAAUACACUAUUUUGGUCAUGAAGAGGAGCUUCAUUUGAUACUUUGAAUUCUAUUUUCGAGCCAGUCAAAUUUCAUAAAUACUCCCCAGAGUUAUGGCCUAGCUUAUCUUCUGUGUCUGCAGACCCAACACCGCUACAGUCUUAGUUACUCCUUUCUCUCCUAUGCAAAAUUCUUUUUCUGCUUAAUAAUCUUGUAUACGUUCUAUCCUGACUAUAACUAUGGUGACCUAAAAACCAAAUUGAAAACCUUAAAAACAGAAGUUGAUUAUUUGACAACCAUCUAUAUUUUUUUAAUUAGAUGGAAAUGCAUAAUCUACUGUUGCUAAGGCACACAAGUGCUGUCUAGUGGCAAUAGGAAGGGGUUGAGACAAUCCAAAACAGCAAAAACAAACUGCAAUAAAUUGAGAAGAAAAAUAAAGAACCAGUUGUUAAAGGCUCCAUGGAUUGGCUGUCAAAAACAAGCCAGUUGUUCUACAUUACAUGUAUUCAAAAAUCCCUUUCCUGUUAAGUGGCAAGAAGGGUAAUAAACAGCUUAUAUAAUUGAAAAAAUUAGUGGGAUGUUUAUAAUUGCAUGAUUUUAUUUUGCAAAUUGCCAAUUAAACAUCCAAUCAUGAUUUUCACUGCCAGCCACAGAACUUGUUUUCAUGGUUUACAAGUACAUUUCUUAGUUUACUGAAAAUUCAAAACACAAGUCACAUUCCAAGAUGAUCUGGAAUAGUUAUUUUUUAACACAAAUAUGCAAUUGAAGAGCAGUCUUUUGCAAAAGAACAACUUAUAGAAACAGAAAAGCACAGAGAUUCUAAUGGUUUUAUUUGGGGCAUUGACAUUUUUGUCAUUAUCUCCAGACUGUCAUAGGUCAACUAAAAGUAGACAGCAAAACAACAUUCCAAAUCUUUCUUUCACUUUGUAAUAUGAGUUGUAUUAUAUACCUGUGACAAAAAGAUAAAUUCAGGUAUUACUAUAAUUUACUUGAAAAUAUAACUGUUACCUAAAUUUAGUUAUCCAAUGAUGCAUGUAGAGCUAAAAAGGUAAAUCUAGUUAUACCUAUUUCUAUGAAAGGCUGGGAAAACAAAAAUUCAAUAACCAGGAGUGCCAUCAGAUAAAAAACAAGACUUUUCAUGGUUUUGACAUAACUACAUAUAUAUUUUAGUAAAGAAUAUUUUUAACAUUAUCCUAUUCUUCAAAUAGGAAAUUAUAGUUUCAUAAUCAGUCAUGCACAAGAAAAAAUGUUUAAAAGGUGUGUGAAGCAGUGGCCACUCCUGAUUUGGUGAAUUUGGCGAAUAAUCGCUCUAAAACAAUCCUACACACAGAAAUGCAAGACCACUAAAAUCAUGAAUUUGCAGCUGCAGCAUCUGACCACUGCCACUCAGCAGCCACCUCAACAGAAAGACCAAAAUUCUCUCCAGGGUUCCUUUCAAGGCUAGGUCCCUGCCACUAUCAUAAUCAGCCUGGCCACUGGAAGAGUUACCCAAAGUUAAAAAGAAGGCCUUAUUCGCAGCCCAAAGCUACUCUCUCGGACCCUUUUCAUGAACGUUCUGAGAAAUUUGAAAAGCACCUCCCUUUUGUAAACAAACACUCAUGAAGUUCUGAGAAAAGUUUUGGAGUCUUUCCAGUACUCCCACUAACACCACUGGGAAAGUUGGACCUUCUUUUAUAGGAGCUGAGGCUAUUACCACUCUUGUGUCUUGAACCCCACCAGCCUUCAGACCUUCUUCCUUAGAGUGCCAGAAUGGUCCAAAUGGUAUGAGUUCCAAACACGGUUGUGAAGACAAUACUCUCUCAGGCCUGAGGCCCUUGAAGGAUUUCAUCUGACUGUCAAGGCACACUUCCAGAAGAGACUCAUCAUCCCACACACCAGUCCCUGUAGCCCACCGGUCUUUCCCACAGAUAGUGAGAGGAGACUUGGCCAGUGUGAAUUUUGCCCACAGCUCUACUUUUCUUCGAUAUGUUGAUGACCUUUUGUUAUGCUCUGCUUCUAAGGAAGCAUGCCUCAAGGACAGCCUAUUCCUUCUAACUCAGCUAGCACACAAAGGCAGAAGUCUCAAGGAGAAAGUUCCAGUUUGUUCAAACCCAGGUAAGUUACUUGAGUCAUGCAUCAAGGGCACAUCUCAGUUUCCCACUUCCUCCCACCAAGUGCCAUUUGAGUUGCUUUUUUGGACUAACAGGCUAUUGCAGAGUUGGGUUCCUAAUUUCCUCUUGUAUGCACAAACCUUUUUCCCUGCUAAAAGGCAGAGGCCCAAUCCUCGUUUGAAAUAAUGAGGCUGAAUCAGCUUUUCAAACUUCAAAUGUUCAGUUGGCCACAGCCCCUGCUGUAGGGCACCCUAACUAUUUUCUUCCCUUUCUGCUAUUUGUUCAUGAAGUUAUUAAUAACAGGAAACACCCUUGGAGAGCUCAUUCAGUCCCAUGGGGGAAAACAGAGAUCUAUUGGCUUUUAGGGCCAACAGUUGAAGCCUGUAGGUCAAGAUCUUUCACCUUGCCUCCAAGCAAUAGCAGCCAGCACUGCCAUUCUGCAGGUUAUAGAAUAGACAGUUUUGGGGUCUCCCUUAUGGACUUUUGUCCCUUAACUAGUUGAGGCACUCCACACACACUCUUAUCUGCUCACUGACUGACAUCCUGUGAAAUUUUUUUUUUUUAAUUUUUUUUUUACUUUUUUUUUAUUAGUUGGAGGCUAAUUACUUCACAACAUUUCAGUGCAUCCUGUGAAAUCUCGUUUUUCUCUCCAAAUGUCUUUUUGUCUUAUGGUAAUGCCCUAAAUCCUGCUACCCACUUAACAUCAGCAACAGAUAAGACCUCACAUGACUGCAUAACCACAGUUGAUAUUUUGACUAGUCUGCAUCCAGAUUACAAGAAACACCUUAGACAAGCUUGACAUCUCUUGCUGUAUCUAUGAAAUAGUGCUGGACAACAAAUCUGGAUAUGCCGUCACUACUGCCUUCACUAUAAUAGAAUCCAAUGCUCUGCCCCUCGUUUGUUCAGCCCAACAAGUUGAACCACACACACUAACUUGCACCUGCACACUUUAGCCUCUGGCAAAUGUGCUAACAUUUACACCAAUAGCAGUUAUGUUUUGGGAGUAUCUCAUGACUUUGAAAUGCUUUGGAAACAUAGAGGUUUCUUGAGCUCACGGGGGAAGUGAAAUUGAAAAUGGCCCCUUUGUUAAGGCUUUGGUGGAUGCAGUCUUGCUGCAUGACAGUUGGCGAUGAUAAGUUGCCGGGCCUUCCAAAGACAGGACUGAAGACUGGCUGACAGAGUUGCCAAGGUCGCAGCAUUACAAGACUCAGGCUUCAUAAAGAAACUUCUGUUGGUCACUGUUCACACCAAGUUAGCUGUGUACUACUUUGGAAGGACACCCAAGAUUUAAAGGCUAUUAUCAGAAACGGGAAAGUGCAUGCUACAGUUAGGAAAGAAUAGUGAUGGGCUUCUGAAGGAUGCCCGUUUGACCAACAUCCUUGGCUUUGGUAUGGGCCAAACAACCAUCCUGCUCUUUCUGCAGUCGCUCAAGAAACCAUCUUAAAGUUAAUACAGGAAAUAACUCGUUAAAGAAUUGAUAAAAUGAUAGCCUGAGGGAAACAAUACUUUUAGAGACCGCCCAUAGUAGCAGCUCAAAUAUGUCAACGGUAUCAGAUCUGUCUGAGGUAUAACCCACCAAAACCUAUUCAUAUUCUCAAGGCCACUUUCCUUUACCUGCUGGUUCCUCUACUAUCCAGCAACUGAAUUUUAGCCAGCUGCCUCCCUCUCAAGGAUCCAAAUAUUUUCUUGUGAUGCUUUGUAUGUAUUGUCAUUGAAUGGAAGCCUUCCCUUGCAGACGAGCAGCAGUGGCCAAAACAUUACUGGAGGGAUUAUUCUCACGUGGGGACUUCUCUUGGAAUUAUAUGAUAAAAGUACCAUUGCACUAGACAAAUUCCAGAUGUUGCUUGUGAAGUCUGGCCUACAACGUUUCUGCUGUACCGAUCAGCCUCAAUCCUCUGGUCAAACGGAAAGAACUAAUGUGUGUGCAUGUGUGCUUGGUCGCUCUCUCAUGUCCAACUCUUUGUGACCCCGUGGACUGUAGCCUGCCAGACCCCUCUGUCCAUGGAAUUUUCCAGGCAAGAAUACUGGAACGGGUUGCCAUUUCCUCCCCCAGGGGAUCUUCCUGACCCAGGGAUCAAACUCACAUCUCUUGUGUCUUUUGCAUAGGCAGGCGGAGUCUUUUACCACUGUGCCACCAGGAAGCCAAAAGAACUAAUAGCAUAAUAAAAACAUAUGGAAUAUUACUCAGCCAUUAAAAAGGGACACAUUUGAGUCAGUUCUAAUGAGGUGGAUAAACAUAAAACCUAUUAAAUGGAGUAAAGUAAGUCAGAAAGAGAAAAAUACCACAUAUUAAAGCAUAUAUAUGGAAUCUAGAAAGAUGGUCCUGAUGAACCUAUGUGCGGGGCAGCAUUGGAGAUGCAGCCAGAGAGAACAGACUUGUGGACAGUUAGGGAAGGAUAGGGAGGGAUAAACUGAAAUAGUUACAUUGAAACAUACACAUUACCAUAUGUAAAAUGGAUAACCAGUGGAAAUUGGCUAUAUGACACAAGAAGCUCAAACCCAGUGCUCUGUGACAAUCU